rnacentral:rRNA from 1 species
CAGUAGCCACGGUAAAACGAAGGGUGCAAGCGUUACUCGGAAUUACUGGGCGUAAAGCGUGUGUAGGCGGUUUUGUAAGACAGGCGUGAAAUCCCUGGGCUCAACCUGGGAAUUGCAGUGGAUACUGGGUCACUAGAGUGUGGUAGAGGAUAGUGGAAUUUCCGGUGUAGCAGUGAAAUGCGUAGAUAUUCGGAAGAACACCAGUGGCGAAGGCGGCUUACUGGCUCAUUCUAGACGCUGAGGUGCGAAAGCGUGGGGAGCAAACAGGAUUAGAUACCCCAGUAGUCCCUGUCUCUUAUAC